CAUAUUACGUUUAAUUCAUAUUCAUAACACAGCUUUUAGUUGGACUCCCUGUGGGUUUUUUUAUCCCUGCCCCCGGGAAUUUGUCGCAUAUUUUCGAAAAUUGUCAAAAGCCCGGGGGGAUGGGCACGUUUGGAUUUGACUGAUGUAUAACGUUUAUGUAAAUCGGGACGACAAACAGAUUGAUUAAACAUUCACUGUCUUCGUUUCUUUUGAAUUUUCUUCCUGAACG